UGCCUAACAAGUUUUUUUUAACUUUCUUUGUUCUUUUGUUAUUAUAUUUCAAUAGCAUUCUUUGUUACGAUUGCUAAAUUAGAAAUAGUUUAGGUUAUGGAAAGUAGAUUGUCAAAAGUAGUUUAAUAGAAAAAUUGCUAUUACUUCUAGUAAUGCUGUAUGCGUUUUAAUAAUUUUUGCAAUAUAUAUUAAUUGUACUCUACCAAUAACUUAAGAUAGCCACAGAAACUUUGUAAAAAUUAUUAGAUAUCUUUAAACAUUUUCAAGAAUCAUUGGAAAAUAUAAUUAAACAGUAGUGAAUAAAAUAAGAUCUUUUCAGAAGUAAUUUAAUAUGGUAGUAAAUUAAAGUACAACGAAUGAAAAGAAUAAAACGUAUCUCUGUAUGCACAGAAUGUAAGUAUAUCCAAGUUAAUUGUAUCGCUUAAUGUAAAAUUUGCUCUUCAGAGUUCAAUAUAUAAUUGGCGAUAAUUACUCAUGCGACAAGAUAGCUUUUUCAUAAUUUUUCUAGACCUUGUUCAUGCGAUAAUCCCCACUUUUCUUGGCAUGCUGUUCCUGUUUCACUCAUUUCGUCACUUAUGAUUUGCUUGUUUGUUUUCUUUGGCGUUAUUAUCUUCAUAAACGUUUCAUUUUGUUUUAAUUAUUAAAUGGACUAUGCACUUUAAGUUUAUUCUUAGAUAUCAAGCUAUUUUAUAAAUUUGUUUAUAUAAUUAUAGCUUACAGGUUAUAUGCAUACAAAUAAAAGUUAAUUUUACGAUUUUUAAUAAAAUGGCAUGCUUUCAGUCCAUUAAAUUCUUUAUUGAUACAUGAAGAUACGAUUUUAAUUAUUAUUAGUGAGCAAGUAAGUCUUGCUUUAAUUUUUACUCAAUAUGUAUUAUACUUUAAAUGAAUUUACCAACUUGUUAUAUAGUAAAUCAUGUUUGAGCAUUGCAGUCUUAUCUUAGUAAAAUAUUUCUUUACAGAAUAACAACUUUGCAUUUAUUGACUGUAAUAUAAUUUAAAUUUAUUAAGCUAAUAAAAAGUAUAAAAAGCAUUUUUUCUAAAAACAUACACGAUCAAAGCAUCAAUAUACCAUUACGACUAAUGUAACAAACAAUUACUUUUAAUGACAAUCUGAUUUCCUGAAGAAAGCGUUUUAGUUUUUUAAUCAUUUUUAAUAUGUAUAGUAUUAUAAAAUACGAAUAGCUUCACUAUUCAUGUCUACGUUUGGAAAAUAUGAAAUCACUGCAGAAAAUAACACUUGCAACUUUUAUAUUCGUUUAAAGACACAAUGAAAGGUCUUCACUUUUUCACAAUAAAUAGGCUUUAUACAAUUGUUCUACAAUGCAAGUGGAUGAAACUGUUCAGAACAACUGCUCCGCGCACUGCAAGCUUCCCUUUUGGUACGCUUAGUAUCAAUCGCACAACUGUGUCCGAGUGAUCGGCUGAAAAAUGGGUAGCGCCCGCGGAGGAAGAAUAAGAAGGCCACGACAGCGGCUAUCGACAAGUCGUCGCGUUCGACGGAAAGACGAGUAACGCGCGCGGCCAAGAUAACAUCGACGAGAACCGUCGCUGCUGGGAUUUUUUCCUACGCGCCGGAUACGAAGUGGCUAUAUCAACCUCGGAAUUGUGUUAUCAAAGAACGACAUGUGGACAUUGAUUAGUGCUUACAGGUAAAGUAUGUAGAAAGAUAUUAGGUGGGCUCACGUUUGACGCACGACAUAAAGCGUGAGCACCGUCAGACGCAAUAUGAAGUUGCAAUGAGAUGAGCAAAUAGAAAUCUCACAGAUUAACCAUAAAAGAAAGUUUGUGUUAUUUUGCGAAAUUCAAGGAGCUGUAUAGGAAAUUAAUUUUGAAUGUAAGACUUUACUUUAUGUGGCCAAUUAUGGCUUCAUGAAUCUUGCUAACAGGAUUUAACUGUGGGUGACCAAAAUGGAAUUUUUAUAACGGUUAUCAAUUUAAAGAAUAAAAUGUAAAGCACUCAAUAAUCAUUAAUUGAAAAUCUACUUUUUUCGAAUUCGUUAUAAAAUAAUUUAGAUCAAAGAAAUCAAUAACAAGUUUUAAAUUUCAAAACGUUAUAUGUUACCAAUUAUACAUACAUACAUACACCAAUAAGAUGGUAUAUGACAUUAAAGUCCAUAUUGAACAAACGUUGAGUUGUACUUCGAUGGAACCCUCUUGGUUAAACCUUGUAUACUCUAAAGGUAUAUUAUUGAGAAUUAAAAUAUCACUAUCAUUAUAACGUGAAUUUCUACCUUACGAACAUUGAUUUCAUUAAUUAUAAAAAUCUAGUGCUUUGAAAUUUUUUAAAAACAAAUAAAAUAAAACAAUAGUUCAUUGUUGUUCUAUACGUUCAUAGAAGGGGACAAUAACGUGCAAUUAUUCUCAAUCAGUUCACAGAAAAUUCUUACAAUUGUCGGUGACCACUUGGUCAGCAAUUCGAUAGCAAAUCCAACCAAACUUCUUCCGAUCGAGAUGUAUGAAAACAUACUGUGUAAACUCAGACCGUUAGAAAGGAGUCGUGGGCCUGAAAAAGUACCGAGAAAAAAAGAUUGUGGCUUGCGCACGCGGUCGCGCAUAUAAUAAUAAACCUACGACUAUGAUCUCACGGCAGCUUACCGGCGCACGUGAGGUCUAUAAAUCUUGAGAGUGACGGCAGUCCGUGGCAGCAUUAUAGAAGACACUUUUCUCGCCCGGUACAGCGCCAUAUACAACACUCUGCGUGUCUACUGCAGUCGUUAGAGCUUGCGCUAGAGCUCACGAAAAUAGUUCAGUCAUAGCAACUUUGCGAUUGCUGGCGCGUGAAAUCGAGGAUGACUGCACUAGCUGACGCUGAUGUGCCUGUCGCAUAUCUGCGAUAUCUGUAGAGGUCAAGAAAUCGACUGAAUCGUCUCACGGAUUUGUUGGACACGUGUCUUUAAAUAACCAUCUAACGCAAGGACUGAAGAAUAAACAGACAGAAGUUUUCAGAUGAAUUCAAUAUAAUGUUCUACGGUUAAGAAUUCGAGCAAAGCUGAGAGAUCACGCGCGAAAACGAGCAGCCAAACCGAUGACGAAUGUCUCAUCGAAUAUCAAAGAAGGGAUGCUUGGCUUGAGUAAGCGCCUGAAAAAGUGCAACACUAUACAAAAUAGAUAAGUAAUUCAGGAGAGCGCCGUACGCGCGCUGCGAGCAAGCGAUGUAUUUCGCAAGGACGCAACCCGACAAAUCAUCGAGCUGCGCGCUUUUUACACUGCACACGCGCACGCUCGCGCGUGCACAUACACACACGUCGGAAGAGUUUGCAGCAGGAGGAAAAAUGUGCAUCGAACGACUGGGCCAAUUGUAACGCGUCGUGAAGUCUGAUUCUCUGAUAGCAACAGUCAACUGCAGAAUAGAAAUCCGCCUGAACUAUACAAUAUGUACGAUGCCAUCGCGUGAUUUGGGAAGUAUUAAAAAGGCAUGGUGUUGUGAUUCUUUAAGUUAUUAUAUAAAGUGCGAAUCAGCGUUUAUGGUUAAAAAUUUGUUUUUAUAUGUAAUUCCACAAGUCGUUUAUUUGACCAAGCAGUACAAGUUACACAUAGCAUGUAUAGCAUACGUACAAUACUGCAAAUCUGAACUGUUGAUUAUCGACUAUUUUGGUAAUACAUUAUGAUGGUACUAAAGUGUACUUACACUGAUGUCGUAGAAGGAGAAAAACUUAGAAAAACUAACUGAUUAUACAAUGACUCAAGACAUUUAAUGGUAUACUGAGCAGAAGCAAUAAAUAUCAAAAUUUAUUUGAAGUUACAUAAAAAUAUUAUAACUGCAUUUCCGUCUUCUAUUCCAAAAUAUCGCAAUUAUUUUGUUAUCCAAUAGAUUCAAAGUUUUAUUAUGCGACUAAUUUGAUAGUAUUAGAAAAAUCAUGACAAUUUGUUACUGUUGAUUUUGUAGAGGUUGAUAUGUGAUAAAUUGAUUAGAAAAUCAAUCAAUAACUUACUUUUAAUUAAUUGUUUAUAUCAAGAUAAAUAUUAUCGCUAUUGUAUGUAGAUAUAAUUAUCAAGUCUAAAAUUUACUGUUCUUGUAUAUUUAGUAUUUUUUUAAGGAAAUUGGUAUAAUACUUUGCAAAUUUGCAUUUUUAAUUUAUAGAUUUCGUAAUUUAUACAUUUAUUGUAAAAAUAGUUGCGAUGCUGAUGUUAUAACGGAAUAAAUAAAACAUACAUUAAUUAAUAAUUUGAUAGUACCAUCAGAUAAUCGGAGCGUGGUUAAUCUUAUGCUGCGUCUAUCAUAUCAAAUAUUUAAAGUAUAAUAAUUAAUACAUUUUUUUUAAAAAGCUUGGUACAUAUAUUUAACAAUAAAUUUCAAAUCUAAUCAUAAUACUGCAUGUAAAAUUGGAUUUACUGUGUACAGAGUUUGGUUAGAUAAACUCAUAUAAUAAUUUAUUCAAAUAGAAUACUUUUGUUGGAUAAAAAUAUUUGAAAUCACAGUUUGAAUACGAAAAAUUCGAUAUUUAGACUAUCUUAGUCUGUCUUGUGAAAUACUGAGUGUUUAGAGGAUCAUCCAUUUACCUUUUUAUCUGCAUCUAUCUGUAGAUCUGUAAGGAAAGCUCGAAAUAUUUUUAGAUAAAACUGGAUGUGACAGUAUCGUAAAAUAUUUCUAUAAACUCAUCAAAUUUGAUGAGGUAAAAUAACAUUUUUUUAAAUUGAAAACAGCAAUAAUAGUUUACUUAAAAACGGCAUUUUGUUGAAUUUUCUAUGUUUACUUAGCAAUGUUUAUGUAAUAAACCUUGAUGAAUUGUGUCGACGAUAAAAAAAGACUCGGAAACUUGAGCGUCGAGUUGUUUUCAUAAAUAUAAUGCUUUUCUUACGCGACUGAAAAAAUCAAUGGCAUGUGCAUUGUAAACGAAGAGAUAAUUUUAACAAAGCAUCGCCUGUUAAAUCAAUAAAAUUUCUUAUGAUACA